GGUAGUGCUAGCUCAGUGGUUACGAUGUUGGACUACUGAUUGGAAGGUCGUGAGUGCAAAUCCCAGCACUACCA